rnacentral:rRNA from 1 species
UGGGGAAUUUUGGACAAUGGGGGCAACCCUGAUCCAGCAAUGCCGCGUGUAUGAAGAAGGCCUUCGGGUUGUAAAGCACUUUUGUCCGGAAAGAAAUCGCACUUACUAAUAUUAGGUGUGGAUGACGGUACCGGAAGAAUAAGGACCGGCUAACUACGUGCCAGCAGCCGCGGUAAUACGUAGGGUCCAAGCGUUAAUCGGAAUUACUGGGCGUAAAGCGUGCGCAGGCGGUUGUGCAAGACCGAUGUGAAAUCCCCGGGCUUAACCUGGGAAUUGCAUUGGUGACUGCACGGCUAGAGUGUGUCAGAGGGGGGUAGAAUUCCACGUGUAGCAGUGAAAUGCGUAGAGAUGUGGAGGAAUACCGAUGGCGAAGGCAGCCCCCUGGGAUAACACUGACGCUCAUGCACGAAAGCGUGGGGAGCAAACAGG